UUCCUAAUUCAUAUACCGUCAGUUUUAUUCUACCCACGCUCUGGACGGGAUUCUCGCGAGAUACGCCGCCACUACGCCGGCUCGUCGCCCCGCUCAGUGGCGUCUCUGGAUCCAUCGCCGGCCCGCCAAGCCGUUAGAUCAGCCGUUGUUGGUUCACCGGCGCAUCGUCCCGCUCCCUCGCAGAGAUAAUCUCGCUCCUCACCCUCCCGAUCUCCUCGCUCCUCCUGAAUCCGAUCCAAUCCCUGAAACGAACUCCAAACCUAUCGCCCGACAAGGCCGGCGGCGUUAUUCCCCUUCCGCGCCACUAACGAUUCCAGUGGCACCCUACUCCCUUCCGCGCCGCCAGCGCCUUUGACCCCUCCUUCCUCCAAUUCGCCCGCAUCGCUCUCGAUCUCCUUGGGUCUAGAACGAAAACCAGAUGCGCUCGCGCACCCGUGGACGACGACCGCGUAACACCUCGUGGGUGACCUCCGCUACGUCGCCGCUGCCCGCGCUGCCCGCUGGGAGGGGAGCGUGGACGCCAGGAAGGCCGCUGCCGCGGCGCAGGCGACGCGCUCUCGACGGCCAGGCGCCUCAUCCCUGCCUGCCGAAACUAGCAGCAGACACCAUCUCAAUCCACCCACGCCUCCUCCUGGUCUUCCCACUCGGCCUGAUCUUACCACAGUGAUCUGUUUCGAUCUCUUCUGCUUCGUUUUGAUAUGGGUCUCUGCAUCGGCCGGAUCAAGAGAUGGGCAAGGACGCUGCGCUCCAUGGGAAGCUAGCGGAGCUGAGCGCUAAAUCCAGUCAUGGAGCCUCACCUUUGUUAAGGUAAGCAGCGCGUUCAAAGCUGUGAAUUUGCGGAGCGUGGGUUGGAUUACUCAAUCAGAUUGUGGUGGGUUGGGUUUGGUCGCGAUCGGAAGGAAUUGCAGAGACACAUCCGGGCGCAGUUCGAUGUGGCCGUGGCGGCGAAUGCUUUGUCGAAGGGCACGGAGGGCAGCAGCUAUCCGCUGUCACAGCGUGCGACAGAGAGGGGCAGUCCAGGCUCAUGGGGUUGGACCUUCUGAACGAGCUUAACCCCAGUGUUGGCCGAGAAGACUAGGCUGCACUGAAUCUUCAUGGACAAUUCUGGCUGCAGAUGUCAUGCAUAAGUGCAUCGCACCGGCCGAGCAGCUGUUCGACGCAGCGAAGCGGAGCUCGAGUGGCAGAGCAGCUACAUGUGGCGCCUGUAAGUUGUUCUAUGGAAUUCCCUGCUUCACUACUGUCUGUCUGAGCAUAUCGCAGCUGCUGCCAUCCUGGCGAAAAACAAUACAGUUCAGACAUUGUCCAAUGGUGUGGUUCAAAGAACACAGUUUUGGCCACUAACUGGUUGACGUAAUGCCAAGAACGCAUUGGAGAUGCAUGGAUUCAUGCAGGGCUGCCUACUUGUGUUGGGUGGGAUAAGCUCAAUACGUUGUUCCAGAAACAUGGUGUGAGUAUCGUGUUCGAGCUGAAUGCGCUGAACGGUUUGGUUGAACGGAUGGGAGGGCUGUGGGAUUACACCAAUCCAACAUUACUAACAUGUUAUACUGCGAACAAAGGCUACAGAUUCAAUGGAUGGGAGCUUGGAUUGUAUGGAUGCCACAGGGAUAAAUCGGAUAGUUUAUUGAGACAAACAAGAUUGCUGGGCACAAAGCAAGGUGCCACCUUCUAAGACUCAUCAGGAAACAUGCUACACAAAAUAUUUAGGCCCGGAAUGUAACAUGUCAAACUGAAAGACAUAAAAAGACUUAAAAUAAACCAUAAAAUAGUUAUCAGCAGUUAUAUAUCCUGACCUUCU